rfam:Aedes albopictus isolate Foshan contig80968, whole genome shotgun sequence.
AGCCUAGUGGUUAAGGCUAUGGAUCGCCAAUCCGGAGACGGCGGGUUUGAUUCCCGU